GAUGAACGCUGGCGGCAUGCCUAACACAUGCAAGUCGGACGGGCAACACGGGAGCCGGUUUUUCCAGUGGCGGCCGGGUGAGUAACGCGUAAGCACCUGCACCCGGGAGGUGAACAACAGCUGGCUACGGCUGCCAAUAGCCCGUACCCUGAGGUGCAAAAGGAGGAAUCCGUCCGUGGAGGGGCACGCGUCUGAUUAGCUAGUUGGUGAGGCAGUAGCUUACCAAGGCGAUGAUCAGUAGCUCGUCCGAGCGGAAGAUCAGCCACACUGCGACUGAGACACGGCGCAGACACCUACGCGAAGCAGCAGAGGGGAAGUCUCCGCAAUGGGCGAAAGCCUAACGGGGUAAUGGCGCGUGAAGAUAGAGGGCCCACGGAUCGUGAAAUUCUUUAGCCGGAGAAGAAGCAUUGACGGUAUCUGGGCAAUAAGCAACGGCUAACUCUGUG
rnacentral:rRNA from 1 species